UCGAACGGUAACAUUUCUAGCUUGCUAGAAGAUGACGAGUGGCGGACGGGUGAGUAAUGCUUGGGAACUUGCCUUUGCGAGGGGGAUAACAGUUGGAAACGACUGCUAAUACCGCAUAAUGUCUUCGGACCAAACGGGGCUUAGGCUCCGGCGCAAAGAGAGGCCCAAGUGAGAUUAGCUAGUUGGUAAGGUAACGGCUUACCAAGGCGACGAUCUCUAGCUGUUCUGAGAGGAAGAUCAGCCACACUGGGACUGAGACACGGCCCAGACUCCUACGGGAGGCAGCAGUGGGGAAUAUUGCACAAUGGGGGAAACCCUGAUGCAGCCAUGCCGCGUGUGUGAAGAAGGCCUUCGGGUUGUAAAGCACUUUCAGUUGUGAGGAAAAGUUAGUAGUUAAUACCUGCUAGCCGUGACGUUAACAACAGAAGAAGCACCGGCUAACUCCGUGCCAGCAGCCGCGGUAAUACGGAGGGUGCGAGCGUUAAUCGGAAUUACUGGGCGUAAAGCGCACGCAGGCGGUUUGUUAAGCUAGAUGUGAAAGCCCCGGGCUCAAUCUGGGAUGGUCAUUUAGAACUGGCAGACUAGAGUCUUGGAGAGGGGAGUGGAAUUCCAGGUGUAGCGGUGAAAUGCGUAGAUAUCUGGAGGAACAUCAGUGGCGAAGGCGACUCCCUGGCCAAAGACUGACGCUCAUGUGCGAAAGUGUGGGUAGCGAACAGGAUUAGAUACCCUGGUAGUCCACACCGUAAACGCUGUCUACUAGCUGUGUGUGUCUUUAAGACGUGCGUAGCGAAGCUAACGCGCUAAGUAGACCGCCUGGGGAGUACGGCCGCAAGGUUAAAACUCAAAUGAAUUGACGGGGGCCCGCACAGCGGUGGAGCAUGUGUUUAUUCGAUGCAACGCGAAGAACCUUACCUACACUUGACAUGCUGAGAGUUACUAGAGAUAGUUUCGUGC
rnacentral:rRNA from 1 species